UCGUCCGAGCUGAUGGAAUCUCUUCAUGGGCGUGCAGGGCCGUCAAUUCCCGUUCAUCUUUCCUUCUGUCUACUGCAUCGUGUUACUCUACAUACUUAUUGUAUGUUAUAACGAUUGAUAAACCAGGUUAUGAAAACAUCCUGUGUAUUUCUCUGAUUGCAAAAUCUAAACAUUGAUCCUUGUUUUUCUUCAUAGUGCAGACUGUAUUGCAGGAGUCAUUAAUACUUUAGAGGUCUAGAAGGAUCCAUAUUCCUAUAUCCUCGCGAAACGUCGGGGUAAAAGUCUGGCCAAGUCGUUACAUGAGUGUUGUUCAGCCUCUUCGCCUCUUGAUCAGGCCAUGGAUGCCACGCCCAAUGGCGGUUGCCGCGCUGAAGAUAAGGCC
rnacentral:lncRNA from 1 species